rnacentral:rRNA from 1 species
UAGGGAAUCUUCCACAAUGGGCGAAAGCCUGAUGGAGCAACGCCGCGUGUGUGAUGAAGGGUUUCGGCUCGUAAAACACUGUUGUAAGAGAAGAAUGACAUUGAGAGUAACUGUUCAAUGCGUGACGGUAUCUUACCAGAAAGGAACGGCUAAAUACGUGCCUG